rnacentral:lncRNA from 1 species
CGCACACUUCGCGCUGUCAAGACUCAUGUUGUGCACGACAUGUAUAUUUAAAUUGUAGUGGGGCAGAACCCUGGUGGAGUUUUCGGUUCAAAUUUGCAUGACUCGUUGGAGAAAAUAGUGAAGGGAGAGUACUGUACAUCAUCAUCCUCAAGAUGCAUCUGAUGGCAACUCAGAACCAAACCAGCCUUCAACUUCACUUCAGUGAGUAGAUAGGAUUUUUUCCGUAAAUGUACAGGUUUCUUAUCAAUUCACAUAGAUUUCAUUUGAAAGAGUAAAGGAUUGCAUUGAAAGGGUGAUGUACAAAUUUUACUUUGGGAUUUCAGUGCAGCUUUCUACACCUUUUUAAAUUUUAAAGUUUCGUAAAAUUGUUUUGACACCCCAUUUUGAUUAAUCUCGUCUCCUUUAAGUUUUGACUUUUUUCAAGAAAUGAAGUACUUUUACUCUGAUGUCAUUACAGGAAGGGGCUGGGGUAUGCUGUUCAAAUUUUGAACCCAACUUUGCUCACUUAACUUACUUGUGAGAAAACUUGGUGACAUUCAUCUCCUGAAACAACAAUGAAUCAGCAAUGAAAAAAAAUAAAAUCUACACCUUACAGCAAAUUGGUCGAAAUUUUUCAAUUUUAACCAAUCUGUUCAUUAGAAAAUUGGUCCACCAAAACUACUGAUACCCAAGGACUUAAACUGAUGCAAAUCGGUUGUAACACCACCCUAUACAUAAUUCACAGUCUUGCCAAUAUAAAUUGGUUACCCUACAAUCAUAACAUAAGACAAUAACAAAUACAUGGUAUAUUGGCUGUUUAUGUGACCAAUCCAUAUUGCAUGGUUGUGACCCCAUCCACUAUAUUAAUUAAUUGAAGACAAUAUUGCGGUAUUACAUUGUAUACGUACGGUACAAUUUAUGUAAAUCCCUUUAUGCAAUUCCCUUUUUAAGCACUUUCCUGCAAUUUUACAGAUUUUAUGAAAAAUUUAGAAUAUACACAUAAUGUACAUGUAAAUUUUGAAGAAAUUAUGAUUCUUGAAAUGAAUAUACUUAGACGUAUGCCUCCAAAUACUUUUAGGACAUUUCCUUCAACUCCUACUCAAUGGUUCUUACAGAACAAAAAACAGCCUUGUCACGUGAUUACCUCCGGUCCCCUGAGCACUCACUCCACACACGUGCACCAGUGCUUCUUUGAGUAUCUGAGAAAGUAACACAUGCAUACCAUAGAAUCUCAAUACACAUAUACAGAGACCAGGAUGGAGGGCGGGAGCGAGACAGAAGUAAGUAUACUCAUUUCAAGAAUCAUAAUUUCUUCGAAAUUUUACAUUCCUUCUCAUUUGUAUACUUACUGCUGCCUCCAAAUACUUUUAGGGUAGAUUCCCAAAGCAGUGUACAAGAGGAGGGAGGCAGUCACUCUAUUUUGACUGCACCUAUUACUGGCAAACAUAAACAUGAAAUAAGCACAAAAAUGAAACGUACGCAGAAAGGACAAAUGGAUAUGGUCCUUACCGGUUAUUAUUAAUCUUGAUACUGCAGUAAAACCGUCCCGCCAAACUGACCCUCAGCUAAGCCACUAAGCCAUAGUGACCUGCUAAGUCACAGAGCUCCUCCAAUCCACAGCUCUCAUGAUAUCGCUAAGAGCCGCUCCAUUGAAUAAGGCCCAACAUGUGGCCAUGGCACAUGUAGAAUGAGCCUGGACUGUAUAUGGCAAGGUGAGACCACCAAGCCAAUUAAACAUUCUUCAACUGUCCUCACUGACCAUCCAGAGAUGGUGCGCUUGGACACAGGGCAUCCUUCCUUUUUGCCACCAAAGGCAACAAACAGGUGCUGCUCCCAUAAGUAAAUGGGCUGUCCUGUCAAUUUAGACCCACAAGGCCCUUUUCACACAGAGACUCAGAUUCGGUUCCUCAAAUUCUGGUAGGAAAAUGUCCUGACCCAGAUGAAGGGGCGUGGCCAUUUUGGUAAAAAACCUGGCACAUAUCGCACUCAUACCCCUCCCACUUCGAAGCAUAAGUAUGGAUCCUUAGCCUGAAGUUCAGAACAGCGUUUCGCUGAAGCCAAAGCCACUAGGAACACUUUUUUAAAAGUGCAAUACUGUAACGAUGCUCCAGCAAAGGGUUCAAGAGGGCUUCCUGUAUAAAAGUCUGUAAAACCACAUAUAAGUGUAGAGUUCAUGGAAAUUGCCCCCCCUUUUUUUAAUUGUUGGUUAACUUUUUCCCCCUUCCUAUAAUGCAUCGACCCAGAAUUGUUCUCCCCUGUAACAUAAUGGACUUGACCAAAAGUGCCACAUCAGCAGGGACAGGAAGUUGCCUUCAUUGUUUCUCAUGCAAUGUUCAAGGCAACAUCAUCUUCAUUAAAGUCACAAGCUUUCCUGUAUACCUGACUGGUGUAUUUCCAUUAUUUUUACAGAGGAAUGAUCACCGUGCUGAGUGUUGCAAACUGCUUUGGUGAGUCGCGCCCUCUCUGGCCAGAUUGCUAGCAGCGCAGGCGCCACAUUUUUCCCAACAUGUCGGGAGGUGGAUUGGAUGACUGAUUAGAGGGAUGGAACUGCCUGUAAUAGGUAAUCUUCUAUAAGUUCAUCCACCAACCGAACUGACAUGUUAUGUAUAGCAAGCAACCAUGACCACAUUUAUUUGAACGCUGCAACCAACGAAUAUUGGCCUCAAUAUUCUUCAUGGUGACCCUGACGUGAUUUACCUGCCAUGUGAACUUUUUCCUCUGGGUUUUCUUGGAUUAUGUGAAUGAUGGCUUAACACAAGACCACCAGAUGAGCUCUGAGAUCCAAACAGACUGCACCACUCACACCUGUGGAGUUUGUGGUGUCAGCCAUCUUAGCCUUCCGUGCACUUGCUGGGCUAACGUGACCCGAGUGAGGAACCUGCCCAAGACGAUCUUUGUGUGGGUGACCAAGCUGGUGGCCAUGCUGGCAACCAAGCAACCAAGUCAGUGGCCAUGCCAGUACCUAUAUCAGUGCCCAUUCCAGUGCCCACAUCAGGAGCCAGGCUGGAAGCCGGGGCACAACCCACCUCAACAGUCAGUCAAGCAAGCAUACCAGAAGCCAAACUACCAGCCGUACUCGUAGCCACACCAGUAGCGGCUCAAGUUCUCAUACAAGCACUAUCAGCUCAGCCCUCUCUAAGAUAAGGGUUGCUGAACGGGAGAAAGAGCUUGCUUUGGCGCAUCAUCACCUGCAGUGGGAGCAGACUGUCUGCAUGAAGACUGAAGAACUAGAAGAACAGCUACUUUAUGCACAGCGUGCAAGAUGAGAAUUUGCCCUGAGGGGAAAGGAGCUCGAGAUUCGACAAAGAAGGGAGUUAGAGGAGGAGGAGGAACUCCAGUUGGCUAGGGAAUGUCUCCAAGCUGAGCAAGGGGAGCAGUGUAUCUUGAAAGUGAAAGAAAAACUGGCAAGACAGUUCGAGCUGCAGAAAAGCUGCAAAGAUGCUGAACUGAAUGUAGCCCAAGCCAGAAUAGAAUCUGACAUUAUUCAAACCAGCAAUGAUCAGAUAACAGGUUCUGAUUCUCCACCAUUGAACUGAGCUGUAGCCCCUGAUACACAGGCUAUGUCUGUUGUUAACCUGUUUGUUACUGUUACAGCCACUUCUUGCCUUCCACAUGGACAUUGUGCAUUCUGAUUUGCCUGAAUCUGCUGCCUUGCCCGUGCCUGUUGCUUGCAAUCAUAAUGCUGCCGUGCCUGUGCCGUUUGCUUAUAAUAGUAAUGCUGCCCUGCCCAUGUCCGCGGUUUCCACUGUUUGCCCUUCCCUUCGUAAUGAUACAGGUAACCAUUCCUCAGCACAGGUGAGACCGACCACACCCGCAUCACGUGAACCAUCACCCCAAGGGCACUCUCUGCCUGCUACCUCAGUAGGCACGUCCUUAGGUCAACCAAUAGCACCGAAUGCUGAUCCAGCUAUAAAUCAGAAUCAAAUGUUAAGCUUAAUGUUGGCAGCAUCCACUAGUGGGAUUAGCAUGGAAUUUCCCAUCUUCAGUGGUGGCGACCCCUCAAGAGUUCUGUUGCUUUGAGGCCAUGGCUGGGGGCUGUAUCAAACGGCUUGUUCAUCUAAGUGAAUUACAAAAGUAUUUUAUUUUGAGGUCCAAACUAUGAGGACAACCCAAAAAAGAUGUCCUUGGUUUUGAGCACCAUGCUAAUCCUUUUACCCUCACAAUGUCAACCCUGCGCAAGCUGUAUGGAGACAUCGGUAUUCUCAUCCGAAGUAAGAUCAAACAGAUCACUUCCUGGCCUAAAUUGGCUGCCCAUGAUUCCAAGGGACUUGUGGCACUUGCGCCCACCAUCUCGGCAUUGGUUGUCAAACUUAAAGAGUACUCCUGAAGGGGAAGCUGAGUUGAAACUCCACUGCCUGCGUCCUUUAGGGCAGUCUUCCUCACAUUCACCAGACCACCUUUUUGAAGGACAUGAGCACUAAAGAGCACUAAAAACUUCUCUCUUGCUGACAUCAGUGGGUGGUUGCAGGAAACUGCUACCAUCGUCUGCAAGAAGAUCCAGUUGAAUGAAUGCCUGAAGUCUGACACCUCACCCAGUCAGCAUGAAAGACUACGAGCAGGUGCUGCUGCCUACCACACCAAAGCUAGGAACUAAGCAGCCAGUGUCAACAGCAAAUCCAGCAAAGCAUUUCAUAAUAGUGAUUUGACAGAAUCCAGACUAACCAGGGAGAAGAAACCGUUUCUCAAGCAUUGCCCCCACUGUGAAGGGAAACAUUGGCUUUCCCGUUGUGAUAAAUUUGAUAAGGUCUCUCCCUGCCAGCAAAUUGAACGGACAAAGGCAAACUGUAGAUGUUACACGUGUGCCCGACGGCACUGAGAGGGUCAAGAAUGUGACCUACGCAAGCUAUGUCAUGAGUGCAACGAGGUUCACCUGAUGGUCCUCCACAAUCUGCUCAAACAGCCAGGAUAUGGCUCAUACUACUCAAGCUUUGACCCCAACCUCUCGGUUUUCUAUUGUGAUGGCAGUCCUUGGCACCGCAAGGAAGUAAGCUUCAAAAUUUUGCCUGUCAUUUUGGAUGAUGGGUCGAAUGGGUCCAUGUUGCCAAUGGAAGCUGCCAAAGCCUUGCACCUGAAAGGGACGGCCACAGAAAUUCUGAUUGUGACAGCUCGAGAUGCUUGUACUCCUUGCAGGGGACAGGUGUUGAAUUUUGACAUUGCUCCUCUGCAUGAUCCAGACUUGCAAAUUCAUGUGAGCAAUGCCUUUUCCUCUCCAAUGCUUACAUUAUCUGAGCAUUCCGUCCCUGCCCAAGAUCUUCAAGAAGAUGGCCUCAUUUACAAGACCUCCCUUUGCAUGACUGCCAGCAGGUGAGAACACUUCUUCUGCUUGGAAGCGACCGCCCAGACCUGUUGAUCCUCAGAGAGAGUCGGUUUGGCCCAGAGAGUGCCCCAGUAAAGGUCAGAACACGAUUAAGAUGGAAAUUGCAAAGACUGACUAUGUGGUCGAGGAGGACAAGGAAAGCUACUCUACCUGUCUAGCAAACAAGAUGCUGUCUUCCAUGAGAAUGUCUGUCGGUUAUGGAACAAGGAUAUCCAGAUGAAAGCUGAGAGAAAGCAAUUUACCCGAUUGAAGUGAAACAACUUAUAUCAAGAUGGAUAAUGUGCACCUAGUGGCGACACUGCUUUUAUGGAGGCUUGAUAAGCCCACUUUCUUUUUUCCGGUCAGUGCAGUGCUACCCUCGUUGAAGAGAAAUGAACAGUGCCUACUGAGAAACCCAAAUUUGGCAAAGCUUCAUUGGAGCAAGAUCCAGGAACUCAAGGAAGGAGGCCUUGUCCGUACUGUUGUCCAUAAAGGGGGCAACCAGGAACCAGAGUUGCAAUGGUACAUUCUGCAUAAUGUUGUGCGCCAGAAUGACAAGUCCCGCCUUUUCUUCAAUUUUGCCUUUCGAUACCAAGGUGAAUAUCUGAACGAAAACCCUCCUCCAGGCCCUACUUUUUGGUCAUCAUUUGUUUGUGUUCUCCUCAGAUUCAGAAAACACCCGGUGGCCAUAUGUGGGGACAUCAUGGCGAUGUUUCAUUGCGUCUCAUCUUUGGAAGCCGACUGCUCUAAGCUACGCUUUCUCUGGAAGGAACUCAACUCUGACAAGGAACCUAAAGAACUUGAAUGGAUCGUCCUUCCAUUUGGGACAACAUGCUGUCCCUGCUCUGCAUCCUUCGCUCUCCAGCAGCACGUAAGGGUCAACAUCGGAGAUCCAGAUGUUCUUUCUAGUGUCCUGGAGGCCUUCUACGUAGACAGUUGUCUUGAUGGAAACCCAUGGUUGAUGAAGCCAAGCCGCUUGGGGAAAAACUGCUGUAGGCCCUUGGUGUUGGAGGAUUCCCAAUUGUGAAGUGGGCCAGUAACAAGCCCGCAGUGGUCGCUGACCUGCCUCCUGAAGCUCAGUCAGACAACACCGAGAGAUGGUUCAACUUCAGCAGUGAUACUCCAGAAGAAGUCGCCUUCGAUCCCCGCUGGAAUUUUGACCUACCAGCUCCAGCUCUCGGACUGGCCCAUCCUUACCCGCAGGGCAGCACUAAGUGACGUCAUACAUUGCGCCGGAAAGGAUUUACUUGGCUAUUUGAUGCCAUUCAUGGUGAGAGGCCAGAUAUUGGUUCAAGAAUUGUGGAAGUAACCGUGGGGCUGGGAUGACGAGAUUCAUGAUGAAGGCGAGGAAGGGAUACGCGCCAAGCAUUUGAGGCGGAGAGAAGAGCUAGCCCAACUUAAAGAUGUCAUCUUGCCUCUAUGCUACACUCCUCUGCAUUUCAACCCAGCCACCAGCAACUACCACUGUUCUUGCUUGGAUACAGUCAGAGUCCUGUUGCUGUAACAGAUUUGUUUUGUGCUUGGGUUGCUGAAGUUUAACGGCUAACGAAUCAUGUCACCUGGCCAGAGAAGUGAGCAAAGAUGGGGAAUCAUUUAGCAGUGUAUGACCACCCGAGCCAUCUACCUUGAUCUGCUCAACUCCCUCGAUGCCGAUGCCUUUCUGAUGGCUUUUAACCAUUUUUGGCCUCGAAGAGGUACCCACAUGGAUCCUAUGUGGCAAUGGAACGAAUUUCAAGGGAGGACUGACAGAGUUGACCAAGGCCUUCAGUGAAAUGACACCUGGUUUGCAGGAGCAGCUCGCCAAGUAUAAGGUUCGAUUCAAGUUCAAUCCGCCGUCUGCUCCACAUUUCGUGGAACAUGGGAAUGAGAGGCACGUUCUGUACAUAAUGCCUUGUAUGCCAUCCUUGGAAAUCGGACUGUGGCUGUCACUGUCUUGUACACCAGUUUGGUUGAGGUAGAGGCUCUCCUCAUCUAAAAUCCUUUGGAUAUGUGGCCGACCCUGAUCCAAUCGUACUUGUACAUUGCACUUGGGGCGGCGAGACCAUGCUCCUCCACAGGUAGGUUACCCUGAUCAAUAUAUCCAUGGUCGUCAUCGUUGACGUCAAUGGCAGGCAUUGAUGCAGCAGUUCUGGAAGGAGUUUCUUGACUCAUGUCUUCCAUCGAUGCAAGCUCGCCAGAAAUGGCGAAAGGAAGAAGAGGGUUUGGCAGAUAGAAACGUGGUUUGGAUGAUAGAUCCGCAGCAGAUCCAUGCUUCCUGGUCUUUCGCCCGCGUCAUCAAAGUACUACCUGGAGAUGACGGAUGAAUACGUGCUGUGAGAGUGGAAGCAGGUGGUUGAGUUUACACCCGCCCAGUUGCUAAGCUGAGUCGGCUGCCUGAUGAGACUGAAGAGAGAGCUGAAGUGGCUGACACUGUUUCUUCAAAUCCAAACUAGAACAAGUUGUUACUUUCAUUGUCACCUACCCCAUAACAUGGGGCGGCCAUUUUGUAAUCUUGUUUAGUCUGUAUUUGUUACCUAUUACCCUUGCCAAUUGCUUCGCUCUUUAAGUGUUACUGUUUUACAAAAAAAUGUCAGUGUUCCUUAACAACCGUUUGCCUUUAGGAAGCAAACUGUUUCUCACAGUUUAUGGGCGGCUAUGUUGCAAACUGCUUUAGUGAAGCGUGCUCUCUCUGGCCAGAUUGCUAGCAGCGCACGCGCCACAUUUUUCCCAACAUGUCGGAGGUGGAUAGAUGGUGAGAUUCUUGCCAUUUUGUUUGUAAUGGUGACAUUUUACAAUACUAAAGGAACCUUGAAAUCAUUUACUUAUUUAAGCCUUAUCAAUGAUGCUGAGCAUUUUUUCCAUUCAACAUGGACGCGCUGAGCACAUGUAACCAAUUAAUGUUGGAAUGUACAGCCUUCGCAUGUGCAAUGGACACAUGCACAAGUCCUGUUGCCAAACUCCCCCCCCCAGCCUGUCUCUCCUUUACAAAUGAGGGUGCACUUCAACUCUGGGUGGAUAUGUCACACUAUUGUCAUGGAUUGACCAAUCAGGAUUGGGAUUUAAGUUUGCUUGAAGAUAAAUUUCAUGUCCAUUAACAGUUGCUCUUUUAAAACAGGCUUCAAAGUAACAAGCCUUAAAGGAAAACAAUAUGCUUACAUCCCCCUUAUUAAUCAAGCACAAUGCCAAAGGGUCAAAAAUAAAGUACUUCAGUUUAAUUUAAACGCUUCAGACCCACAAUCAGGAUUGGUUUUGGGGACAGAGCCGAAGUUGAGUACAUGUAUUAGAAAACGCCCGUCGUGACAGACCUUUUCUUGUACGUUAUGCAAAUUUGACAAGCGCUACGUACUGACACUGUCCAGUGUGCAGUCUUCUACGCGCAUGAAGCUUUUUAAAGCUUUUAAAGUUUCUGCACGUUCUAUACGUAAACUAGUCGCCCUCGAGGUUCCAAUGGUUUGUGUGUUAUGGGACAUCUUAAGUCCCGCAUGUCCGCUUUAUGUCCGUGUGUCAUAAAAAAGAAACCCAACUUUUUAGGAAGAAAUAUAGCCAAACUAUAGAUUCGUCAACAUGUUUUACUGUAUCUUAAAGUGGAGGGUUCAAGCUUUCCAUUGAUAUUGUAGCGUGUCCUACGGGUUAGGGUCCGACGCUAGUAUAGAUACACACAGCCACAACUCGCUGUUCUGUUCAAGAAAUCACUGUUUUAUUACUGUAGCGUCCACAACAAUGUGUUUUUCAGACAAGCUCUA